AUGAAGAACAAGGAGGGCGGUGAUUUGAAGCGUUUGUGGGACAGAGCUGCUUCAAAGGCGCCGAAGAUAAGUUCAACAUCAACACCAACAUCGGUAUCUAUCGAUGCUGAAAACCAAGAUCAAGAUCAAAAUGUUUGUAACCCACCUUCCAACGAACUACAGUUGGCACUAGUGCAGACAAGUAAUAACAGUGGCAUGGAACCAGAGAUAGGUUCGCCAGAUGUAGAAGAUGAAGAUUCGGAUGAAGAAUUUGAUGAUGAAGCAGUGUAUGUACUUCAGCCUGAUCCCGGGAAGAGGAUUCCCAUCAUGAACUAUGACGUCAAUGACCAAGACUUGGUGAGAAGGAGAUACAUUGCAAUGGGGGCUUGUCAACCAAAGAAACAUCAAUUCAAAAUAACAAAAAUUGGAGGUAAUAACCGUCGCUUUUCAGCUCAUUGGUUUGACACAUGCGAAUGGCUUGAGUAUAGUGUUGAACUAGAUGCGGUGUUUUGCUUUGUUUGCUACUUGUUCAAGGAUAAAACUAAACAUAAAGGUGGUGAUGCUUUUGUGAAAGGAGGGUUCAGAAAUUGGAACAUGAUGAAAAAUAGGUGUGGAAAACAUUCUGGUUCUCUCACUAGUGCUCAUUGUGAAGCUCAAGAGAAAUAUGAUUUGUUCAUUAAGCCCGAUGCAUCAAUUAGGCAGUCUAUGGCUUCAACUUCCAAACAAGCCAAGGCUCGAUAUAUUUCUCGACUAGGUUAUUCUAUUUACUGUCUGAGAUUUCUUUUGAAGCAAGGCUUGGCUUUUCGCGGUCAUGAUGAAAGUGAAGAAUCACUUAACAAGGGGAAUUUUCUUGAGCUUUUAAAUCAUCUAGCAGAAAGGUUUGAAGAUGUCGACAAAGUGGUUCUAAGAAAUGCUCCAAAGAACUGUAAAAUGACAUGCCAUGAUAUACAGUUAGAACUCAUCAAUUGUUGUGCUAAAGAGACAACUAGUCUCAUCAUGAAAGAUCUUGGUGAAGAAUAUUUUGCCAUACUUGCCGAUGAAUCUAGUGAUGUGUACCAACGGGAAGAAUUGGCUCUUUGCUUGCGGUAUGUUGACAAAAUUGGAUGGCCGGUUGAGAGAUUUCUUGGAAUUGUCCAUGUUGAGGACACUACCUCUCUGACACUUAAAAAGGCAAUUGAGAAACUAUUGAUGGAAAAUUCUUUGAGUUUUUCUAUGGUUCGUGGACAAGGAUACGACGGGGCCAGCAACAUGAAGGGUAAGGCUAAUGGUUUGAAGAAAUUAAUUAUGGAUGAGUCUCCUUCUGCUUAUUAUGUUCAUUGCUUUGCCCAUCAACUUCAGUUAACUCUAGUUGCUGUUGCUAAAGAGAAUGGUGACUGCUUUUCAUUCUUUCAACAACUUUCAUCUUUGUUGAAUGUCCUGGGUUUGUCUUGCAAAAAGAUACAAAUGUUUCGAGAAGCUCAAGCUGAUUAUCUUAUUGAAGCAUUGCAAUUAGAUGAAAUUGAAACCGGCAAAGGGCAAAACCAGGAGAUGGGUUUGGGAAGACCAUGUGAAACUCGUUGGGGAUCCCACUCUAAAACGGUGUCACAUGUUCUUUCUUUGUACCCUUCAAUCCAGAAAGUUCUCAAAAGGAUUGGAAAAGAGUAUAACAGUGCUGAGGGUAUUGGAGCUCAAACUAUAUUGAGAUCAUUUGAGUCAUUUGAGUUUGUUUUCAUGUUGCACUUGAUGGAAGAACUAUUUGGGUACACAGAUGUCUUGAGCCAAGCUUUGCAAAGGAGGGAUCAAGAUAUUGUGAAUGCUAUUGAUCUAAUUUCUCUCACUAAGCAACAAUUGUUGAACCUGCGAGAAGAUAGUGGGUGGGAAUUAUUUCUAGAAAAUGUCAAGUCUUUUUGUCUGAAGCAUAAGAUCAAAGUGCCCGACAUGGAUGGAUUCUAUAAGUCAGCUCUACGAUCUAAUAAGUUCUUCAAGAAAGUUAAGAAUCUCCAUCGCUUUCGUAUUGAUAUGUUUUUGGGUCUCAUUGAUAGGCAACUUCAAGAGCUCAACAAUAGGUUUGAUGAGGUAAACACCGAAUUACUUGUCUGUAUGGCAUCAUUCAAUCCUGUUGAUUCAUUUGCUGCUUAUGAUCAAGAGAAGUUGGUCAAGCUUGCCCACUUUUAUCCUAAGGAUUUCUCAAAGACGGAAAUAUUGAAACUUCCUUAUGAAUUGUCAAUGUUUAUUGCUGAUAUGCGUAGAGAUGAAAGAUUUAGAAAGGUGAAGAAUAUUGCCCAACUUUCAGCCAAGCUUGUUGAGACAAAGAAGAACAAUAUCAUAUGCCAUUGUUUACAAGCUUCUCAAGUUGGUCUUAAUUCUGCCGGUGGCGACUGCUAG
rnacentral:rRNA from 1 species